GGCUCUUUUAAGCACAUAUCAUAGAUACCCUUUGGUCAUAGCUUUAGAGCAAGCUAUUUUGCAUGCGGUGUUGGCUAGUUUGCGCCAUUUUGUAUAACAGAGCAGCGCCAGUGGUGUAAAUCAGUUUUCCCCAAACCUUUUUCUCUCGAAGCACAAUAUAUGUAUUCUCUGAAAAUAAUCUCACGGCACACCAGCAUUACAUUUUAUCGCUGUGAAAUAUUAUCAGUGCCUACUAUACGAUAAUUUGUUGUGAAAUGCCUUUUAAGUUUACUUUGUUAGUCCCCCCCCAAGGCACAAUGGGCAAGGCACAAUGGAAUCGGGAGCGUUCUCCUGUGAACUUGAAUGCAUAGCUCGAGUAAUGGUCAUUGUAUUGUCUGUUCCUGACCUGUUUAAAUGUAUUUUUCUGUUCAGUUCUACAACAGAGUGACGGAUCAAAUAAGGGGAUCAAAUAAAACACAGUUCGCAAAUGGAGGCUAUCUUAAAAAAAAUACUGGCGUCUUUAUACCUAGACGGCAGAGAGAUCUCCUCCUCCCCUGCCAAGACAGACUCAUUCUGCCCAUGAGCCCAUGGGCAGGCUGGACGACAG
ensembl:lncRNA